AAGUCGUAACAAGGUUUUCGUAGGUGAACCUGCGAAAGGAUCAUUAGUGAAUUACUUGGAUUCCUCUGCAAAGAGAAGAUCCAUUUUAUCCACUUUCACAAACACUGUGCACUUGUCUUUUUUGACAACUUUUUGUAAAACACAUUUGCCAAACUAUUUAAAGUCAAUAAUGUUCAAUUAUGAUAACGAAAGUAAAA
rnacentral:misc_RNA from 1 species